GUCUUCGGGGUGUAAGAAUAACACACUUGGCGCGUAAUCCAGAGGUCCAGGUUCAAAUCUUGGCGAAGGUA
rnacentral:tRNA from 1 species